rnacentral:rRNA from 1 species
CACGUAGGGCGCAAGCGUUGUCCGGAAUUAUUGGGCGUAAAGAGCUCGUAGGCGGUCUGUUGCGUCCGCUGUGAAAACUCGGGGCUUAACCCCGAGCCUGCAGUGGAUACGGGCAGACUAGAGGUAGGUAGGGGAGAAUGGAAUUCCCGGUGUAGCGGUGAAAUGCGCAGAUAUCGGGAGGAACACCGGUGGCGAAGGCGGUUCUCUGGGCCUUACCUGACGCUGAGGGCGACGACGUGGGGAGCAAACAGG